rnacentral:tRNA from 1 species
GCCUCGGUAGUUCAACGGAUAGAGCAUCAGUCUUCGGAACUGAGAGUGGGGGUUCGAUUCCCUCCCGAGGCA